UACAGAGACUGCAAGCGUUAUUCGGAUUCACUGGGCGUAAAGCGCGCGCAGGCGGUCUUCCAAGUCAGUGGUGAAAGCCCGGAGCUCAACUCCGGAACUGCCAUUGAAACUGUUGGACUUGAGUAUGAGAGAGGUGAGUGGAAUUCCCAGUGUAGAGGUGAAAUUCGUAGAUAUUGGGAAGAACACCGGUGGCGAAGGCGGCGACCUGGUCCGAUACUGACGCUGAGGCGCGAAAGCGUGGGGAGCAAACAGG
rnacentral:rRNA from 1 species